GCCCAUGUGGCUGUAGUGGUUAGAGUGUUUGGCUAGGACCUGGGAGACCAGGGUUCAAAUCCCCACUCAGCCA